AUAUUAAAGUUGUUGUGAGUUAAAAAGCUCGUAGUUGGAUCUAGGGACGCGCAUUUCAAGCGCCCGUGCCAUCGGGUCAAACCGGUGGCUGCGUUGGCGUUGCGGGCUCGGUCCGUCGGUGCCCACAAAAGCAUCGGCGUGUCAACCGGCCCGCCCGUCCCCUCCUUCUGGAUUCCCGUUCCUGCUAUUGAGUUAGUGGGGACGUCACAGGGGGCCCAUCGUCGUCAUGCAAAUGGCGGCGGUGGGUCCCUGGGGCCCAGAUCGUUUACCGUGAAAAAAUUAGAGUGUUCAAAGCAGGCAGAUCCAAUUUUCUGCCACCGAAUACAUUAGCAUGGGAUAAUGGAAUAGGACCCUGUCCUCCUAUUUUCAGUUGGUUUUGGCAGCGCGAGGACUAGGGUAAUGAUUAAUAGGGAUAGUUGGGGGCAUUAAUAUUUAAUUGUCAGAGGUGAAAUUCUUGGAUUUAUGAAAGAUUAACUUCUGCGAAAGCAUCUGCCAAGGAUGUUUUCAUUAAUCAAGAACGAAAGUUAGGGGAUCGAAGACGAUCAGAUACCGUCGUAGUCUUAACCAUAAACGAUGCCGACCAGCGAUUAGGAGACGUUGAAUACAAAACACCACCAUCGGCGCGGUCGUCCUUGGCCUGCGUCUCGUUUCGGCGAGGCGUUGGCGGGGGCGGCUUAGCCCGGUGGCACCGGUGAAUGACUCCCCUAGCAGCUUGUGAGAAAUCAUAAGUCUUUGGGUUCCGGGGGGAGUAUGGUCGCAAGGCUCAAACUUAAAGGAAUUGACGGAAGGGCACCACCAGGAGGGA
rnacentral:rRNA from 1 species